UUAGUAGAAGCCAAAAUAGAGGCUAGUCACUGUUAAUGAUUAAAAUGAAUUUAUUUUCCUACUAAA
rnacentral:tRNA from 1 species